rnacentral:rRNA from 1 species
UACGGAGGGUGCAAGCGUUAUCCGGAUUCACUGGGUUUAAAGGGUGCGUAGGCGGACAGGUAAGUCAGUGGUGAAAUCCUAGAGCUUAACUCUAGAACUGCCGUUGAUACUAUCUGUCUUGAAUAUUGUGGAGGUGAGCGGAAUAUGUCAUGUAGCGGUGAAAUGCUUAGAUAUGACAUAGAACACCAAUUGCGAAGGCAGCUCGCUACACAUAUAUUGACUCUGAGGCACGAAAGCGUGGGGAUCAAACAGG